rnacentral:snoRNA from 1 species
AAGCACGUUUCAUUGUCUUUUUUCUUUAUAUCAAGAGAAAAGAUAUUUCUGAUGUGCUAAAUAAACCCCUGGAGGUAAAUUAGCGGCAUGACUAAUUUAGUCAUUGCUGUCAGUCUCCUUCAGACACCG